rnacentral:tRNA from 1 species
AAAUUUAUAAUUUAUAAAGAAAAAUAUUUCAUUUACAUUGAAAAUUAAUUUGGGCAGUUCAAAUUAGAUUUA